UAGGUUUAAAUUAAAAAUUAAAAAAUCUAAUUUGGCAGACAAAGUACAGUUCAGAAAGUCUGAACUAAAAGUAAAACUAUUAAAACUGAAACAAAAAAGUAAAAUAAAAAAUAAAACCCCAAAAUUCUCCACUUUUCUUGGUUGUUGUUAAUUUGGUAGACUUGGUUGGUUGGUAAAGACUCUCUCUUUAUCACCGGCCGCCAUCUGCCGGUUACCGUCCGCCGGCCUCUGUCCUCUGAUCUCGAGAGGAGAUUCAAAAGAAAACGAAUGGAAUCUAUGGCGUGUUGAGGACAUUGAGGAUCACUAAUAUGAAUAUGAGAAGAUGGCAUGAAGGUGGUUCUUAAGAGGGAUAAUCAGGAAGAGGAUGACUAAUACGGGGAAGAUGAAUCCGAAUGUCGAGGAAAAAAGGAAAAUUUGCAAAACUUUCAAGCUUAAGAUCAAUGAACCAAGGAGGCAAGCUGCUUACUAUACUGAUUUUGGUGGAGAGCAAACUUUGCAGUCAACUACAGUAAUACAUAACAAUACCCAGCAAUCACAAUCGACUCAAGGAUAUGGCUAACAAAAAAAGUGGACCUUACAACCAUAAUCUAAAUCAAUGAUGUGAGAAGUUACAUAAUAAAUCAAACUUGAGAAAUGUUUAACAUUUUGAGAUUAUCUAGUUACAAUUUUCGCAUUUUGGGCUCUACAUACUCUUAACAUUUUGGAGUUUUCUUCUACAAUGUAUUUUUUUUGUAGAGUCAAAGUCUAAAAUUUAUCUUUUGACAGUUGUAAUUAACAAAUUUAGGAGAAUUUUUUAUUAA